UGCUUAACACAUGCAAGUCGAACGGAAAGGCCCUGCUUUUGUGGGGUGCUCGAGUGGCGAACGGGUGAGUAACACGUGAGUAACCUGCCCUUGACUUUGGGAUAACUUCAGGAAACUGGGGCUAAUACCGGAUAGGAGCUCCUGCUGCAUGGUGGGGGUUGGAAAGUUUCGGCGGUUGGGGAUGGACUCGCGGCUUAUCAGCUUGUUGGUGGGGUAGUGGCUUACCAAGGCUUUGACGGGUAGCCGGCCUGAGAGGGUGACCGGCCACAUUGGGACUGAGAUACGGCCCAGACUCCUACGGGAGGCAGCAGUGGGGAAUAUUGCACAAUGGGCGGAAGCCUGAUGCAGCAACGCCGCGUGCGGGAUGACGGCCUUCGAGUUGUAAACCGCUUUCGCCUGUGACGAAGCGUGAGUGACGGUAAUGGGUAAAGAAGCACCGGCUAACUACGUGCCAGCAGCCGCGGUGAUACGUAGGGUGCGAGCGUUGUCCGGAUUUAUUGGGCGUAAAGGGCUCGUAGGUGGUUGAUCGCGUCGGAAGUGUAAUCUUGGGGCUUAACCCUGAGCGUGCUUUCGAUACGGGUUGACUUGAGGAAGGUAGGGGAGAAUGGAAUUCCUGGUGGAGCGGUGGAAUGCGCAGAUAUCAGGAGGAACACCAGUGGCGAAGGUGGUUCUCUGGGCCUUUCCUGACGCUGAGGAGCGAAAGCGUGGGGAGCGAACAGGCUUAGAUACCCUGGUAGUCCACGCUGUAAACGGUGGGUACUAGGUGUGGGGUCCAUUCCACGGGUUCCGUGCCGUAGCUAACGCUUUAAGUACCCCGCCUGGGGAGUACGGCCGCAAGGCUAAAACUCAAAGGAAUUGACGGGGCCCCGCACAAGCGGCGGAGCAUGCGGAUUAAUUCGAUGCAACGCGUAGAACCUUACCUGGGUUUGACAUGGAUCGGGAGUGCUCAGAGAUGGGUGUGCCUCUUUUGGGGUCGGUUCACAGGUGGUGCAUGGCUGUCGUCAGCUCGUGUCGUGAGAUGUUGGGUUAAGUCCCGCAACGAGCGCAACCCUUGUUCACUGUUGCCAGCACGUUAUGGUGGGGACUCAGUGGAGACCGCCGGGGUCAACUCGGAGGAAGGUGGGGAUGACGUCAAGUCAUCAUGCCCCUUAUGUCCAGGGCUUCACGCAUGCUACAAUGGCUGGUACAGAGAGUGGCGAGCCUGUGAGGGUGAGCGAAUCUCGGAAAGCCGGUCUCAGUUCGGAUUGGGGUCUGCAACUCGACCUCAUGAAGUCGGAGUCGCUAGUAAUCGCAGAUCAGCAACGCUGCGGUGAAUACGUUCCCGGGGCUUGUACACACCGCCCGUCAAGUCAUGAAAGUUGGUAACACCCGAAGCCGGUGGCCUAACCGUUGUGGGGGAGCCGUCGAAGGUGGGACUGGUGAUUAGGACUAAGUCAUAACA
rnacentral:rRNA from 1 species